rnacentral:rRNA from 1 species
GAUGAACGCUGACAGAAUGCUUAACACAUGCAAGUCGAGGGGCAGCACGUCUUCGGAUGGUGGCGACCGGCGCACGGGUGCGUAACGCGUAUGCAACCUACCUUAUACAGGGGAAUAGCCCAGAGAAAUUUGGAUUAAUGCCCCAUGGUACUAUAAAGCUGCAUAGCUUAAUAGUUAAAACUUCGGUGGUAUAAGAUGGGCAUGCGUAUGAUUAGGUAGUUGGUGAGGUAAAGGCUCACCAAGCCGACGAUCAUUAGGGGUUCUGAGAGGAUUAUCCCCCACACUGGUACUGAGACACGGACCAG